UACGUAGGGGGCUAGCGUUGUCCGGAAUCAUUGGGCGUAAAGAGCGUGUAGGCGGCUCAGUAAGUCCGCUGUGAAAGUCCAGGGCUCAACCCUGGAAUGCCAGUGGAAACUGUUGAGCUAGAGUCCGGAAGAGGCGAGUGGAAUUCCUGGUGUAGCGGUGAAAUGCGCAGAUAUCAGGAAGAACACCCGUGGCGAAGGCGGCUCUCUGGGACGGUACUGACGCUGAGACGCGAAAGCGUGGGGAGCGAACAGG
rnacentral:rRNA from 1 species